UUCAAAAUAGCCCAAUUAACAGGAGCGCGCGGAUCCCCCAUGGAGCGGGUUGGGUCGCGCACGGAUCUGGGUCAAUACGGCACCGUUUUGGAGCCACUGAUCAGACUCCAAACGGCGCCGUUUCGUACAUCAUGUAAGGGUCAAAAGUAAAACCCUAAAUUGGCAGCCACAUCUUCAUUUUUCAAAACGAAAGUAAAAAAAUAAACAUAUAAAAAAAAACACCCAAACGCCCUCCCCUCUCAGCGCCGCUUCAACCAGCCGAAGUUCUGCCCAACCCCGAUUCGAGCGGAGUGAACGGAGCUUCCACGGCGUCUUAGUGAAGGUACGGUCGUACGGGGCCAGCUGGGCGUGGAGGCGGUGGCGCACAUGCGAGGGCAGAGCUUGAUUGCGGCGCUGGAGCUGCUAGGGUUUCUGCUUCUAAUUUUGUGUUGGGCCACUCCGUGAUUGGGCUAGGGGCAAAUUAGGUUUGGGCCUUAGUGGGUAGCACUUAAGCAUUUGGGCCACUGGGAUUUAGGCCUGCUAUUGUAAAAAAAACUGAACAUUUUAUUUAUUUUAUGUAUAUAUAUAUUUUUUGGUUUUAA